UACGAAGGGGGCUAGCGUUGUUCGGAAUUACUGGGCGUAAAGGGCGCGUAGGCGGUUUGAAUCGUCGGAUGUGAAAGGCCUGGGCUCAACCUGGGAACGGCAUCCGAUACGGUCAGACUUGAGUGUGGGAGAGGUUGGUGGAAUUCCCAGUGUAGAGGUGAAAUUCGUAGAUAUUGGGAAGAACACCGGUGGCGAAGGCGGCCAACUGGACCACAACUGACGCUGAGGCGCGAAAGCGUGGGGAGCAAACAGG
rnacentral:rRNA from 1 species